UGAAUACGAGACGCUAAGGCGUCGAAGUAGUGUAUGUCAUACUUCCAAGAAAAGCUUGCACUGUCAUAGAUAAAAAACGCCUGUACCAUAACCGACACAGGUGGGUAGGUAGAGUAUACUAAGGGGCGCGAGAUAACUCUCUCUAAGGAACUCGGCAAAAUAACUCCGUAACUUCGGGAGAAGGAGUGCCUUAUUCGUAAGGUUGCAAUAACAAGAUCCAAGCAACUGUUUAUCAAAAACACAGGUCUCCGCUAAGUCGUAAGACGAUGUAUGGGGGCUGACGCCUGCCCAGUGCCAGAAGGUUAAAGAAGUUGGUUAGCAAUUGCGAAGCUGAUAACUGAAGCCCUGGUGAACGGCGGCCGUAACAAUAACGGUCCUAAGGUAGCGAAAUUCCUUGUCGGGUAAGUUCCGACCCGCACGAAAGGCGUAAUGAUUUGGAUACUGUCUCGGAGAGGGGCUCGGUGAAAUAGACUUGUCUGUGAGGAUGCGGACUACCUGCACCAGGACAGAAAGACCCUAUGAAGCUUUACUGUAACUUGAAAUUGAAAUUGGACUUUAUUCGCGCAGUAUAGGUGGGAGGCGUUGAUUAUAAUCUUGUGGGAUUAUUGGAGCCAUCAGUGAGAUACCACUCUUGUAAUGUUAGAUUUCUAACUUUGAAUCAUUAUCUGGUCAAAGAACAGUUUCAGGCGGGCAGUUUGACUGGGGCGGUCGCCUCCUAAACGGUAACGGAGGCGUACAAAGGUUUCCUCUGAACGGUUAGAAAUCGUAUCUAGAGUGUAAAGGCAUAAGGAAGCUUGACUGUGAGACCUACAAGUCGAGUAGGGACGAAAGUCGGUCUUAGUGAUCUGACGGUACUGAGUGGAAAGGCCGUCACUCAACGGAUAAAAGUUACUCUAGGAUAACAGGCUGAUCUCCCCCAAGAGUUCACAUCGACGGGGAGGUUUGGCACCUCGAUGUCGGCUCAUCGCAUCCUGGGGCGGUAGUACGUCCCAAGGGUUGGGCUGUUCGCCCAUGAAAGCGGUACGCGAGCUGGGUUCAGAACGUCGUGAGACAGUUCGGUCCAUAUCCGGUGUAGGCGUUAGAAUAUUGAGAGGAGCCUUCUUUAGUACGAGAGGACCGAGAAGGACAUACCUCUGGUGUACCAGUUAUCGUGCCAACGGUAAACGCUGGGUAGCUAUGUAUGGAGUGGAUAACCGCUGAAAGCAUCUAAGUGGGAAGCCCACCUCAAGAUAAGUAUUCUC
rnacentral:rRNA from 1 species